rfam:Oryza glumipatula chromosome 1, whole genome shotgun sequence.
AAAAAGGCAAACCCUAGAUUUCCGUGUCCAACUUUGAUUGUCCAUCUUAUAUGAAAUUUUUUUUUAUAAUUUGUAUUUUCAUUGUUGUUAGAUGAUAAAACAUGAUUAAUAUUUUAUGCGUGACUUGUUUUUUUAAUUUUUUUCAUAAUUUUUUCAAAUAAGACGGACGGUCAAACGUUGAAUACGGAAACCAGGGUUUGUCUUUUU